rnacentral:rRNA from 1 species
CAGUAGCCGCGGUAAUGCGAAGGGGGCUAGCGUUGCUCGGAAUGACUGGGCGUAAAGGGCGCGUAGGCGGCCUGCAUAGUCAGAUGUGAAAUUCCUGGGCUCAACCUGGGGACUGCAUUUGAUACGUAUGGACUUGAGUGGAGAAGAGGGUCGUGGAAUUUCCAGUGUAGAGGUGAAAUUCGUAGAUAUUGGAAAGAACACCGGUGGCGAAGGCGGCGACCUGGUCUUUGACUGACGCUGAGGCGCGAAAGCGUGGGGAGCAAACAGGAUUAGAUACCCCCGUAGUCCCUGUCUCUUAUAA